CCUUCCUAUAGAGAGUGAAAUUUUAUUCUGCAACUCAACGGUCUAACAACUUUUUACUUUUCACACACACUAUGAAUAACUGAUCUAUUUCUUAAACGCGAAAUGGUUAUAAUUAUAAUGACCGAACAAAGAACGUUGAAGCUAAGAAAGAACCUCAUUCUGCAAAAGUUUUCCUAGGAACUGCAGAGGAUACGUUCUCACCGCAGGUCUCGCCACUUCUCGGCAG
rnacentral:misc_RNA from 1 species